AGACAGGAUCUUGCUAUGUUGCUCAGGCUGGUCUCGAACUCCUGGGCUCAAGCGAUCCUCCUGCCUCGGCCUCCCAGCCUCAAAGUGCAGCUUUUAGUUCUAAUUAUAUUGACUAGAGGUCUAGAUCUAGAUCUGGCGGGUCUAGAUCUGGACGUAUUAGUAUCUAGAGCUGGCAGGAAGUGAUAAUUCAAAGAUAAAAAGGGUACCUUUUAGGAUGGACAUUGAGAUUAAGGUUUGGAAAAUGCAACCUUCACUGCAAAGUAAGGGGGCCAGUUUUGGUUGUGGAAAGAAUGGAAGUCUGGCGCUUUUUUUUUUUUUUUUAAAGAGAUGGGGUGUGGGACGUUAUCUCAUUGUAUUGCCCAAGCUGGUUUCGAACUCCUGGCCUCAAGCGAUUCUCUUGCCCUGGCCUUCCAAAGUGCUGGGACUACCGGUAGGAGCCACAGCGCCCAGCCGGAAGUGUGGCUUUCAUAGAUACAGGAAGUGUGGCAUUCAGGGAUCCGCCUUGGGGUUUAUUUUUGAUUGAUGCGAGGGGCGUGGCUAGUCGAUAACGCGAUACCAGCUUGUGAAUGAACACUGGGGUACUCGGAAGUGUGGCGUACUCCAGUCCUGUGUUUACCGAUAGACCGGAAGUGUGGCUUCGUUUACAGUUCGGCACGUUGGACGGAGGGUAGUACGUCUAGAGACACAUAUUCCCAACGGAUUUGACGAUGGUGUUCGGUCUUGAAUGGAAAUGUAGUCUUAGGCCAGUCUUAGGUUUCUGAACAGGAUAGUAGGUAUCCGGAGUCGAUUGAGGGCCAGAGCAGGCACUGGGGUUCGGAUCCUGGGCAAAGUUUCCCACGUUGAGGGUCUCGAGGACGCCUAGAUCUCUUUCCCAGGGCCAUGGCGAACCCGAAGCUGCUGGGACUGGGGCUAAGCGAGGCGGAGGCGAUCGGUGCUGAUUCGGCGCGAUUUGAGGAGCUGCUGCUGCAGGCCUCCAAGGAGCUCCAGCAAGCCCAGACAACCAGACCAGAAUCGACACAAAUCCAGCCUCAGCCUGGUUUCUGCAUAAAGACCAACUCCUCGGAAGGGAAGGUUUUCAUCAACAUCUGCCACUCCCCCUCUAUCCCUCCUCCCGCCGACGUGACCGAGGAGGAGCUGCUUCAGAUGCUAGAGGAGGACCAAGCUGGGUUUCGCAUCCCCAUGAGUCUGGGAGAGCCUCAUGCAGAACUGGAUGCAAAAGGCCAGGGAUGUACCGCCUACGACGUAGCUGUCAACAGCGACUUCUACCGGAGGAUGCAGAACAGCGAUUUCUUGCGGGAGCUCGUGAUCACCAUCGCCAGGGAGGGCCUUGAGGACAAAUACAACUUGCAGCUGAAUCCGGAAUGGCGCAUGAUGAAGAACCGGCCAUUCAUGGGCUCCAUCUCGCAGCAGAACAUCCGCUCGGAGCAGCGUCCUCGGAUCCAGGAGCUGGGGGACCUGUACACGCCCGCCCCCGGGAGAGCUGAGUCAGGCCCUGAAAAGCCUCACCUGAACCUGUGGCUGGAAGCCCCCGACCUCCUCUUGGCUGAAAUUGACCUCCCCAAACUGACCCUUCAAAUAUAGUUUCCCAGCGUGUGAGGCUACCAUGCCUGGUCCAGGUGAUCAUCCUGUUGCUGGGAAGGGUGACCUGAUUCCGCCACCUCUCCAGGAUGGAGCCCUGGGGCUGUCGCUGGAGAUCGGGGAGAACCGCCUGGUGAUGGGGGGCCCCCAGCAGCUGUAUCAUCUAGACGCUUAUAUCCCGCUGCAGAUCAACUCUCAUGAGAGCAAGGCAGCCUUCCACCGGAAGAGAAAGCAAUUAAUGGUGGCCAUGCCGCUUCUGCCGGUGCCUUCUUGAUCAGGGUGUCUCCUUGUGCUUCUGAGAUGUGGAGAAGAGGCUGCUGGCUUCCCUAAAGUUGAAAUAAAAGAUUUUUGCCUUU